rnacentral:tRNA from 1 species
GCCUUCGUAGUGUAAUUGUAGCACACUCGGCGUGUAUCCGAGAGGUCCAGGUUCGAGUCCCGGCGAGAGUA